UACGUAGGGUGCAAGCGUUGUCCGGAAUUAUUGGGCGUAAAGAGCUCGUAGGCGGCCUGUUGCGUCGGCUGUGAAAACCCGGGGCUCAACCCCGGGCCUGCAGUCGAUACGGGCAGGCUAGAGUCCGGUAGGGGAGACUGGAAUUCUGGUGUAGCGGUGAAAUGCGCAGAUAUCGGGAGGAACACCGGUGGCGAAGGCGGUUCUCUGGGCCUUACCUGACGCUGAGGAGCGAAAGCGUGGGGAGCGAACAGG
rnacentral:rRNA from 1 species